rnacentral:lncRNA from 10 species
AAAGAGGCCUACUCAGCCAUGAAAGGUGCUGGCCUCCCAGGAAUGUGGCCUGGCUGAGCAAACACAUCUGGAGCUACAAAAGCCAAGAUUUGAGCGGGAGCACAGGCAGAAUGCCUUAGUUAAGACUAGAUAAACCAGGUUUUAGCAUACAUAGUCAGCAGACGGUGAGGAUCAAAGACUUGAUACAGAAGAGAUGAGCCCAAGACCUCCUAUGAGACCUAAGAUCCCUUUCUUCAUCCUGAUAUCAGGAGGAUGUGCCUGUCACAGUCUCCACCAGAAGCUUUAUCUUACUACAGAGUCCAGAUGCAUUAAGGCUGUGUUCGAGCCAUGAUCUUCCUCUGAAGAAGAAAUGAAGAAGAAAUUUAUCUUAUUUUUGGAUAUAGUGUUCUUAGUUGGCAGUUUAAUUAUUAUUUUUACUUCAUCACUUUGUAUACGUCAUCGCACUUUCUCCUGGCCUAUAAGAUCUCUCCUGAGAAAUUUUACGUUCUACUUUACUGGAA